GAUUUGUGGCUCAAUGGUAGAGCACUUGCCUAGCAUGUAUGAGGCACUGGGUUCGAUUCUCAGCAGCA
rnacentral:tRNA from 1 species